GCGAUAAUAGCUCAGUUGGGAGAGCGCCAGACUGAAGUCUCUUUAUCCGGGGUGCCAUCUGGAGGUCACCCGUUCAAUCCGGGUUUGUCGCA